CGCUGGCGGCGUGCUUAACACAUGCAAGUCGAACGAUGAAGCUAGAGCUUGCUCUGGUGAAUUAGUGGCGAACGGGUGAGUAACACGUGAGUAACCUGCCCCGAACUCUGGGAUAACUGCUGGAAACGGUAGCUAAUACUGGAUACGACCUACGAAGGCAUCUUCUGUAGGUGGAAAGAAUUUCGGUUCGGGAUGGACUCGCGGCCUAUCAGCUUGUUGGUGAGGUAAUGGCUCACCAAGGCGACGACGGGUAGCCGGCCUGAGAGGGUGACCGGCCACACUGGGACUGAGACACGGCCCAGACUCCUACGGGAGGCAGCAGUGGGGAAUAUUGCACAAUGGGCGCAAGCCUGAUGCAGCAACGCCGCGUGAGGGAUGACGGCCUUCGGGUUGUAAACCUCUUUUAGUAGGGAAGAAGCGAAAGUGACGGUACCUGCAGAAAAAGCACCGGCUAACUACGUG
rnacentral:rRNA from 1 species